rnacentral:misc_RNA from 1 species
GAUGAAGAACGCAGUGAAAUGCGAUACGUAAUGUGAAUUGCAGAAUUCAGUGAAUCAUCGAGUCUUUGAACGCACAUUGCGCCCCCUGGUAUUCCGGGGGGCAUGCCUGUCCGAGCGUCAUUGCUGCCCUCAAGCACGGCUUGUGUGUUGGGCCUCCGUCCUCCUCCCGGGGGACGGGCCCGAAAGGCAGCGGCGGCACCGCGUCCGGUCCUCGAGCGUAUGGGGCUUCGUCACCCGCUCUUGUAGGCCCGGCCGGCGCUUGCCGACACAUCAAUCUUUUUUCCAGGUUGACCUCGGAUCAGGUAGGGAUACCCGCUGAACUUAAUCAUAUCAAUAAGCGGAGGA